rnacentral:tRNA from 1 species
GCUCCCAUGGCGUAGUGGUCACUGCGCUCGCCUUGCACGAGUGAGACCCGGGUUCGAUUCCCGGCGGGGUCA